UCUAUAUAGGGGGGGACCCAUCUGCCUGCUGGCCGGACGGGUUGAGAGGGACAGAGGAGGGCAAGGGGGAGGGAUGGGAGAAGAGGGAGGGGUGGGAAAGCAAGGAAAACACAACACACAUUUGGAUACAUGUAUGACAGGAUAUGUGACACAAACAAAGUAUAAGCUAACAUUGAAAACUGACUCAUAAUUUACUCUUAUGAUGUACGGCUCUGACAUUAAACAUACUCCAUAUAUAGCUAGCAGUAAAAUUCAAACAGUAUGUAAGUUAGCAUAACAAGUAUAGUGAAGGCAAUGCAGAGUUGACUGGUGGAAAAAGGGGAGCUGGAAGCAGAGGGCUGGAGGAAGGUCAGCAGCAGCAUCCCACAGUGGACAUGAUGGAGACUGGACCAGCUGGUGGAACAUCAAAUGCAGAUCUGAAGCAUCCAGCUCUGGGACCAGGGACACGCGGAGAAAUAGCACAGGGGGAGACAGAGUGAAUGUACUGCAAUAACGGUAUACAUAUUAAAUGUAAAGGUAGAUAGAGAAGGGCUCAGUGCGUCAAGAAAAGUCCCCCAGCAGCCUAGGCCUAUAGCAGCAUGACUAGGGGCAGAACGAAGGGACGUCCAAGAGGGAGUCAGCUGUGCAAAUGAAGACACAAGCCGAACCCCUGUGGGUCACCCAGUCAGCCCUAACUAUAAGAUUUGUCAAAAAGGAACGUGUUUGUAAGGAACGAGGGGCAGCGUGGAAUGUUGCUGCCCCUCUCCAGUGAGGAGUUGCAGCAGGGGAAGGCCACGCUCAUGUGCCUGGCCAACAAGGGCUUCCCCUCAGACUGGAGUCUGUCCAGGAAGGUGGACGGCAGCAGCAGCAGCAGCAGCAGCAGCAGCAUGAGCUGGGAGGAGAGCAGGAGCCUCGGGGUGCUGGAGAAAGACGGCCACUACAGCUGGAGCAGCACCCUGAGGCUCCCUGCAGACCAGUGGAGGAAGGUGGUCUCUGUGAGCUGUGAGACCACCCAGGGCUCCCAGACUCCACUCUCAGAGACAGAGAUUAACUAAAAAAUUAUAUAUUUAAAAUAAAAAUGUUAUCUGGUCACUU